ACUGGCACCUCAGAAAGUUAACGGAAUAGUUGAGUACCCUUGACAUCAUAAUGCAGCCAAAAAUAACAUGAUCUUUUAAUGUUAAACUGUUGUUUUUUUUUUUAUUGUAAAAUUUAGAGGAUCUCCGUUU